AGCCCUGUGGCCUAAUGGAUAAGGCAUCUGAUUUCGGAUCAGAUGAUUGCGGGUCCGAGUCCGGUUGGGGUAG
rnacentral:tRNA from 1 species